AUUGAACGCUGGCGGCAUGCCUUACACAUGCAAGUCGAACGGCAGCACGGGUGCUUGCACCUGGUGGCGAGUGGCGAACGGGUGAGUAAUACAUCGGAACGUACCUUAUCGGGGGGGAUAACGCAGCGAAAGCUGUGCUAAUACCGCAUACGCCCUGAGGGGGAAAGCGGGGGAUCGCAAGACCUCGCGCGAUUAGAGCGGCCGAUGCCUGAUUAGCUUGUUGGUGGGGUAAAAGCCCACCAAGGCGACGAUCAGUAGCUGGUCUGAGAGGACGAUCAACCACACUGGGACUGAGACACGGCCCAGACUCCUACGGGAGGCAGCAGUGGGGAAUUUUGGACAAUGGGGGCAACCCUGAUCCAGCAAUGCCGCGUGAGUGAAGAAGGCCUUCGGGUUGUAAAGCUCUUUUGUCAGGGAAGAAACACCGGCUCUAACACAGUCCGGGAAUGACGGUACCUGAAGAAUAAGCACCGGCUAACUACGUGCCAGCCGCCGCAGUAA
rnacentral:rRNA from 1 species